GAGCUUUCGGGUCGUAAACUCUGUUGUUAGGGAGGACAGUGCUAGUGGAUAGCUGCACUGACGGUACCUACAGAAGGCACGCUACUACGUGGCAGCAGCCGCGGUUAAUACGUAGUGGCAAGCGUAUCCGGAAUUAUUGGGCGUAAAGCGGCGGCGCAGGUGGUUUUCUUAAGUCCUGAUGGUGAAAGCCCACGCUUCAACCCGGGGGAGGGGUCAUUGAAACUGGGAGGACUGAGUGCAGAAGAAGGAAGUUGGAUUCCAUUGGUAGCGGUGAAAUGCGAGAAGAAAUGAAGAACACCGGUGGCGAAGCGGCUUUUCUGUCUUUACUGACCACGAGGCCGGGAAGGCGUGGGAAGCAACCAGGAUAAAUCCCUGGGUAGUCAAGGCCUUAACGGAGAAGUCUUAGUUUUGGAGGGUUUCCGCCCUUUAUUCCGGAAGUAACGCCAUUAACCCUUCCCCUGGGGAAGUCGGGCGCAAAGGUGAAAAUUCAAGGAAUUGGCGGGGGGCCGCCCCAACGGUUGGACCAGUGGGUUAAUUUGGAACCACGCGGAGGACCUUUCCCAGUUCUGGCCUUCUUCGACCACCCUAGGGAUUAGGCUUUUCCUUUCGGAGCCGGAGUACCAGUGGGGCCAGGGUGUUGUUAAGUUCGGUUGGGGGAAGGUGGGGUAAAUUCCGCCACGAAGGCCACCCUUUAUUUUUAUUGCCCUCCAUUAAUUGGGCCAUUUAAAGGGGACUCCGGGGGCCAACCGGGAGGAAGGGGGGGAGGAGGUCAAUUCUCCAUCCCCUUUAGGCCUUGGGUUCCCCACGUGUUCCAAUGGCGGGUCCAAGGAGUGCCAAGCCCGGGAGGGGAAGUAAUUUUCAAAAACCCUUUUCCAUUUGGGAUGUUGGGUUCCAAUUGCCUUCCAGGAAGCGGGAUUCGUUGGUAUUGGGGGUUCACCAUCCGCGGGGGAAUAGUUUCCGGGCCUUGGUCCCCCCCCCCGGCCCCCCCCGGGGAUUUGGUACCCCCGGAAUUGGGGGGGUUACCCUUUGGAGCCAGCCGCGUAAGGGGGUCCCCUG
rnacentral:rRNA from 1 species